rnacentral:rRNA from 1 species
AAACGCAUGCUAAUACCGCAUACGCCCUACGGGGGAAAGGAGGGGAUCUUCGGACCUUUCGCUAUCAGAUGAGCCUGCGUGAGAUUAGCUAGUUGGUGGGGUAAAGGCUCACCAAGGCGACGAUCUCUAGCUGGUCUGAGAGGAUGAUCAGCCACACUGGGACUGAGACACGGCCCAGACUCCUACGGGAGGCAGCAGUGGGGAAUAUUGGACAGUGGGCGCAAGCCUGAUCCAGCCAUGCCGCGUGUGUGAAGAAGGCCUUCGGGUUGUAAAGCACUUUCAGAGGUGAGGAAGGGUGCGUAGUUAAUACCUGCGUACUUUGACGUUAACCUCAGAAGAAGCACCGGCUAACUCUGUGCCAGCAGCCGCGGUAAUACAGAGGGUGCGAGCGUUAUUCGGAAUUACUGGGCGUAAAGCGCGCGUAGGCGGUUUGUUAAGUCGGAUGUGAAAUCCCAGGGCUCAACC